rnacentral:rRNA from 1 species
GGGUGAAAUCUUAUAAUCCUUGUAGGACCACCAGUGGCGAAAGCGUCAGACUGGAAACGCGCCUGACGGNNUGAAGGGACGAAAGCCAAAGGGGAGCGAACCGGAUUAGAUACCCGGGUAGUCCUGGCCGUAAACGAUGCAUACUAGGCAAUGGUGCGGCCAUGAGCCGCAUCAGUACCGUAGGGAAACCGUUAAGUGUGCCGCCUGGGAAGUACGGUCGCAAGGCUNAAAACUUAAAGGANNAUUGGCNNGGGGGAGCACCACAAGNGGGUGAAGCCUGCGGUUCAAUUGGACUCAACGCCGGGAAACUUACCAGGGGAGACAGCAGAAUGACAGUCAGGUUGACGACCUUACUCGACGAGCUGAGAGGAGGUGCAUGGCCGUCGCCAGUUCGUGCUGUGAGGUAUCCUGUUAAGUCAGGCAACGAACGAGAUCCGCGCCUUUAUUUGCCAUCAAGAAGUCACGACUUCGUUGGGAACACUAAAGGGACCGCCGUCGAUAAGACGGAGGAAGGAGCGGGCAAAGGCAGGUCAGUAUGCCCCGAAACCCCUGGGCUACACGCGGGCUGCAAUGGUGCGAACAAUGGGCUGUAACUCCGAAAGGAGAAACCAAUCCCGAAAUCGCAUCUCAGUGGGGAUUGUCGACUGUAACUCGUUGACAUGAACGUGGAAUCCCUAGUAAUCGCGUGUCACCAUCGCGCGGUGAACGUCUUGCUCGUUGCACACACCGCCC